CCUACGGGAGGCUGCAGUGGGGAAUAUUGGACAAUGGGCGAAAGCCUGAUACAGCCAUGCCGCGUGUGUGAAGAAGGCCUUCGGGUUGUAAAGCACUUUCAGUGGGGAAGAAAGCCUUGGGGCUAAUACCCUCGAGGAAGGACAUCACCCACAGAAGAAGCACCGGCUAACUCCGUGCCAGCAGCCGCGGUAAUACGGAGGGUGCGGGCGUUAAUCGGAAUUACUGGGCGUAAAGCGCGCGUAGGCGGUCUGAUAAGCCGGUUGUGAAAGCCCCGGGCUCAACCUGGGAACGGCAUCCGGAACUGUCAGGCUAGAGUGCAGGAGAGGAAGGUAGAAUUCCCGGUGUAGCGGUGAAAUGCGUAGAGAUCGGGAGGAAUACCAGUGGCCAAGGCGGCCUUCUGGACUGACACUGACGCUGAGGUGCGAAAGCGUGGGUAGCAAACAGGAUUAGAUACCCUUGUAGUC
rnacentral:rRNA from 1 species